UACGUAGGGUGCAAGCGUUAAUCGGAAUUACUGGGCGUAAAGCGUGCGCAGGCGGUUUUGUAAGUCUGACGUGAAAUCCCCGGGCUUAACCUGGGAACUGCAUUGGUGACUGGCAGGCUUUGAGUGUGGCAGAGGGAGGUAGAAUUCCACGUGUAGCAGUGAAAUGCGUAGAGAUGUGGAGGAAUACCGAUGGCGAAGGCAGCCUCCUGGGCCAACACUGACGCUCAUGCACGAAAGCGUGGGGAGCAAACAGG
rnacentral:rRNA from 1 species